rnacentral:lncRNA from 1 species
CUUGCAACCCACUCCCCUAAAGAACCCUCAGUGAUGUCUGGUCCCUGUUGAAGUGGGAAAACACACUACUGGUAUCAGUUGACUUACAGCUGUGUAUAGGAACACCAAUGUUUUAUGAAGGGUAGUAGCAUUCAUAACAGACCUUUGUUCAUCUCAGAAGAAAAUACGAUAAAGAGCCAGCUUCUGUCAUACAGAAAACACACAAGAUGAUUGUUAAAGGUGUUCCAACAUGGGAUAGUGCCACAGAAAGGCCCUGCACGGAUAAUUCAUCUCUGUUGCCUUGGAGUCAAUUAGGUGAAACGAAGAUAUGGGCCCCCAAAACGCGGCAAACUGCAGUAAGCUGUCACAGCUGUGAAAUACCCUGGAGAACAGCCCUUGCUGAAAAGAGCUCUCCGAAGAUUGUGCACAG